rnacentral:lncRNA from 13 species
AUGGGGAGCGCGGGGCACACCUGGGAGGGAUCCCGAGCACACCUACCCGUCGGGCGAGUACUCGAGGUUGAAGACGGCGCCGUGGGUGCGGGUGCUGAGGGACACGGAGUCCGCGGGCUGGAUGGCGCCGUACAGCCCGGUCAUGGCGCCGAACGUGUCCCGCGCCGGGUCCACGGCGGCCCCGCGGCCCAGGCAGCGCCCGCGCAGCCACGCGAAGAGCCCGCCCGGGGCGCCGGGCCCCGGGUCCGCGGGGUCGCUGUGGCGGGGGGGCUCCGGGUCCGGCCCCGGGUCCAGCCCCGGCCCCGGCCCCGGCUCCGGCCCCGGGCCCUUGCUCAUGGCGGCGGCAGCGCCAGCCCGCGUCCGCCCCCUGCCGGCCGCCCCGCGCCACUGCGCCUGCGCGGACCCGCCCCCGAGACCCCGCCCACACCGAUCACGUGUUCGCCACUGCACGUGACCGUGGGGCCGGCGGGCUCGGGGCCCCUCAGAGCUCGGGGCCCCUCAGGGCUCGGGGCCCCUCAGAGCCCGGGGCCCCUCAGACCGCGGGCCCCUCAGACCGCGGGCCCCUCAGAGCUCGGGCCCCUCAGAGCCGGGGCCCCUCAGAGCUCGGGGUCCCUCAGGGCUCGGGGCCCCUCAGAGCCCGGGGCCCCUCAGAGCCCGGGCCCCUCAGAGCCGGGGCCCCUCAGACCGCGGGCCCCUCAGAGCCGGGGCCCCUCAGAGCUCGGGACCCUCAGAGCCGGGGCCCCUCAGAGCUCGGGACCCUCAGAGCCGGGGCCCCUCAGAGCCGGGGCCCCUCAGAGCUCGGGCCCCUCAGAGCCGGGGCCCUUCGGGGCGCGGGCCCCUCAGAGCGCCGGCCCUCAGAGCUCGGGGCCCUCAGGGCGCGGGCUCUGGCGCCGGGCGCUCAGGGGCGGCUGCAGCCGGGCCGUUGUCAUCCAGCGGCUGCACUGGGGCCGUCCGGUGCUCACCUCCUCUUCUCUUCUGACGAACAGGGAAGACCAUCCUAAGAGGAAUUUGCUGUCUGGGCGAGGGCCACGGGCGUGA